rnacentral:rRNA from 1 species
UACGAAGGGGACUAGCGUUGUUCGGAAUUACUGGGCGUAAAGCGCACGUAGGCGGAUUUGUUAGUCAGGGGUGAAAUCCCGGGGCUCAACCUCGGAACUGCCUUUGAUACUGCAAAUCUCGAGUCCGAUAGAGGUAGGUGGAAUUCCUAGUGUAGAGGUGAAAUUCGUAGAUAUUAGGAAGAACACCGGUGGCGAAGGCGGCCCACUGGAUCGGUACUGACGCUGAGGUGCGAAAGCGUGGGGAGCAAACAGG